rnacentral:rRNA from 1 species
AAUGAACGCUGGCGGCAGGCCUAACACAUGCAAGUCGAGCGAGCGGCGGACGGGUGAGUAAUGUAUGGGGAUCAGCCCGAUAGAGGGGGAUAACUACUGGAAACGGUGGCUAAUACCGCAUACUAUAGGAUGAACCCAUAUGGUAUUAGCUAGUAGGUGGGGUAAAGGCUCACCAAGGCGACGAUCCCUAGCUGGUCUGAGAGGAUGAUCGGCCACACUGGAACUGAGACACGGUCCAGACUCCUACGGGAGGCAGCAGUGGUGAAUAUUGCGCAAUGGGCGCAAGCCUGAUGCAGCCAUGCCGCGUGUAUGAUGAAGGCCUUAGGGUUGUAAAGUUCUUUCAGCAGGGAGGCGUUACCCGCAGAAGAAGCACCGGCUAACUCCGUGCCAGCAGCCGCGGUAAUAC